UACGUAGGGUGCAAGCGUUGUCCGGAAUUAUUGGGCGUAAAGAGCUCGUAGGCGGCCUGUCGCGUCGGCUGUGAAAACCCGGGGCUCAACCCCGGGCCUGCAGUCGAUACGGGCAGGCUAGAGUCCGGCAGGGGAGACUGGAAUUCCUGGUGUAGCGGUGAAAUGCGCAGAUAUCAGGAAGAACACCAAUGGCGAGGGCAGCUCUCUGGGACGGUACUGACGCUGAGACGCGAAAGCGUGGGGAGCGAACAGG
rnacentral:rRNA from 1 species